AACGAACGCUGGCGGCAGGCCUAACACAUGCAAGUCGAGCGAGGACUUCGGUCCUAGCGGCGGACGGGUGAGUAACGCGUGGGAACGUGCCCUUUGCCUCGGAAUAACCCUGGGAAAAUGGGAGUAAUACCGGAUGAGCACUUUGGGGGAAAGAUUUAUCGGCGAAGGAUCGGCCCGCGUUGGAUUAGGUAGUUGGUGGGGUAAUGGCCUACCAAGCCGACGAUCCAUAGCUGGUUUGAGAGGAUGAUCAGCCACACUGGGACUGAGACACGGCCCAGACUCCUACGGGAGGCAGCAGUGGGGGAUCUUAGACAAUGGGGGAAACCCUGAUCUAGCCAUGCCGCGUGAGCGAUGAAGGCCUUAGGGUUGUAAAGCUCUUUCAGCUGGGAAGAUAAUGACGGUACCAGCAGAAGAAGCCCCGGCUAACUCCGUG
rnacentral:rRNA from 1 species